UAAGCCCAACAACUAUCCUAUUAACCACUACAACCAGCACUACGCCACCUAAUACAACCCCACAAACUACAACCACAGCUCCCUCAACAACAACCCCAUUAACUACUACAAACAACACUACGCCAACCACAACAACCACCACCAGCUACUACACCUGAAGACACAACAGCUCCCCCAACUGUAACCAAUGUCUCAAACCAAAUUGUUAUUUUGAGAAUGAAGCUUUCCUCUCCGUCUCCACUGUCUGAAGAUUACCGUAUUACAACAGAUUAAAGAUGAACUGGUGAGACAAGGGCUGCCAUAUAAAUACGAUUGUACACCUUGUGAGUAGUGUGCAACAGUAAUUUACAACCACAGCGACCCCUGUUGAUUCAACCUGAACAUUUAUUGACCCCUGGAGAGAAAAGUUUUCAGUUGCCUGUCAAAUUUAAAACAUUAAAAAAUGUUUACAGUAAAGUAAUGAUCAGCUUUUAUGUGUAAAUAUCAUGGACGUAUACUAAGGAUGUAAAUACUUGACUGUAUAAUGUAUAAGGUUCCUGUUGUAGUGUGUAUUAAAAUAUUUUGCUGCCUUUGAUUAUAUGUCCAAUAUGUGUAAUUUGUCCAUUUAUA